rnacentral:lncRNA from 1 species
AUGACAAAGUUAGGAAGAAUUCUUCUUAUAGUGUGUGCUUUGUUUUCUCUAAUGAGUCACACUUUGGGAUCUCGUGCACCUAUUAGAGGGUAUAUAGAUGAUAUUGGUCGCUUUUGUCCAAAAAGUUUGAAUGUGCCAGGAAAGUGUAGUGAUUUUCGAACAUGUUGGGAUGAAGUCAAUGAUGCAGUUGGAGCUAGUGGCAUGACUCAUCAAUGUACUUGUCAAGACCUUGCACAAAAUAAACGUCUUUGCACUUGUUUAGUUAAAUGUUAA